GAUGAACGCUGGCGGCGUGCCUAAUACAUGCAAGUCGAGCGAACGGACGAGAAGCUUGCUUUUCUGAUGUUAGCGGCGGACGGGUGAGUAACACGUGGAUAACCUACCUAUAAGACUGGGAUAACCUCGGGAAACCGGAGCUAAUACCGGAUAAUAUUUUGAACCGCAUGGUUCAAAAAUGAAAGACGGUCUUGCUGUCACUUAUAGAUGGAUCCGCGCUGCAUUAGCUAGUUGGUAAGGUAACGGCUUACCAAGGCAACGAUGCAUAGCCGACCUGAGAGGGUGAUCGGCCACACUGGAACUGAGACACGGUCCAGACUCCUACGGGAGGCAGCAGUAGGGAAUCUUCCGCAAUGGGCGAAAGCCUGACGGAGCAACGCCGCGUGAGUGAUGAAGGUCUUCGGAUCGUAAAACUCUGUUAUUAGGGAAGAACAUAUGUGUAAGUAACUGUGCACAUCUUGACGGUACCUAAUCAGAAAGCCACGGCUAACUACGUG
rnacentral:rRNA from 1 species